UAUUAAAGUGGAGCAGUACAGAGAUUAAAGCACACAAAAAAAGAGUGAUGGAACAAAAGGUCCCAAAAAGGGGAAAUGGCACAUGUGUUGAUGAUGACCUAACCACUUGUAACAUUUCCAAACAAAUCAGUCAAAUACUAUAUAAUAUUGUUGUAAAUAGCAUAUAACUGGAAAUAGAGCUUUCCUGUCUCUUUUAUAGGAGGGUAUCAUGUGAGCAAAUAGGAAAUGUGAGUCUUGGCUUAUUGUCUUGUGUAGCGACAUGUCAUAAAAUUGGCAGUAAAACCAAUAAUCUGUUUUAAAAUCUACUGAGAGUAGUCUUCCUCCCUCACACACUUUAAAUAAUCUCCCUGUCGUGUGUGAGUCAAGCUGCUGCGGGACACUUACGUGUCUCAGAACGUAACAUUAUGUAUGAUUAUCCUUGUGGCGUAACCUCUAAUUUUUUUUUUUUUUUUUUACAUUUUUAUCCAACUAAAUUGUUUUCCCUCUUGCAUGCAAGAGGUGAUGUGCUCUCUGAGUAGAUUACAUUCAGGUGAACAAAGUGCACAGCUCUCAUAUCAGAGAGAGAAAGAGACCAGGGUUCACUACUGCAGCCCUGCAUGUGUGACGGUGGUGAACUUUAAGCAGCAAAAGUAGGUUGGCUAAAGAAGGGAAACAAAGUGUUAUAGUUUUCCAUUUAAAAUCACACCUUGUUUUAUUUUAGAAUGACUCUUAAAGUGUUAUUGUGCGCUUUUAAAGUUUGAAGGUCUCUCAGAUCGGCGGAGCAAUCGCUCCUUGUUGUUCCCAUGUUGAGGCUCGUAUUAGGCCGAAGCAAGAGCUGAGGUUUUAUAAUCAGGUUUAGUCAUUUUUUAAAAUUUUUAAUUGCCUUUUCAUUUCUUUUUGCCUGUUUAAUUUCUGUUUUUCCACAUUUUAUUAUUUUUAUGUAGUAUGUCUUUAAUUUGUUAACACAUUUAAUGUAUUUUUUAUUUUAUUUUAUUGCUGUCUUUAAACUUACUUUUAAAGUGCUCUAUAAAUAAAGGGGAUUGGAUUGUUUAGCAACUGGCUAAUGCCUAAAUUGAAACUAUCAAACCACAUGCAUUCGAUCUGAAGUAGCACAGAUAUUGCAUAACCAAUAAAAAUAGCCUCCAUAAUUUAAUUGAGUACAAGUACAGCAUGAAACAGAUGAUGGUCAGCCUGAGACUUUACAGUGUGGAAUUGCAGACGUGGUUUGUGUCUUUUUUUAAUCUUUCUUAUUGUCUUUGUUAGUAAGACGCCUGUAAAACCGAUAAAGAUUGAGAUUUGUGCGGCACUUAAAUGAACUAUUUUGACAGCCACUCGGGGCGAUGCAGCAGUUACAGCCUUUCUAUGUGGACAUCUUCCUGUGCUUGUGUGAGUUUCCUCCAGUUACUCUGGCUUCCUCCCACAUUCCAAAGACAAACAUGCUCGGUUAACUGCUGGCUUUAAAUUGGCUGUAGGUGCUGAUGGGAGAGCGUGUAGUUGUCUGAGCCUUAAGAAAAUGGAUGGACGGUGGGAGAACUGCUCCUAUUAUCCACUCUGAUGGAAAAU
ensembl:lncRNA